GCUCAGUGGCUAGCCGAAUAGCCGUGUUUGGGACCUGGGCUCGGGCUUCUUGCGUCCCCGCUAAGAACAUGUCACGGGGCCGAAUCGUCCGUAUUCUCUCAGCUUCAAGCUCCUCUACUUUUCAACCAGGUCACUAGCCCUUGACUCCUCUUAUCAAACUUCCGGAACUGCCACCCCACCAGUGACUCCACAGGCACCAGGGCAUGCAACAGGGCUGGGACAGGAAGGCUCUCUUCUUCACCUCAAGCCUGCUGGGCUAACACUUGCGAUUUUUACUAGAGUUAACUUUGUAAUGUAUGUCUCUGACUCUAGAAUUUCAAGAGAAGUUCCACUUAGUGACUCCUAAGUGGAAGUUCUAAGAUGGCUUCCCAGUGAGGUGAUGAAGAGGUUUGAGCUUUAGAGUGCGGUUGCAAAGCUCUUCUCUGACCUGAACAAUGGCUGUAGCUGUGGACCAACAAAUCCAGACUCCUUCAGUACAAGAUCUCCAAAUAGUUAAACUGGAAGAAGAUUCCCACUGGGAGCAGGAAAUUUCCCUUCAAGGGAAUUACCCUGGACCAGAGACAUCCUGCCAGAGCUUUUGGCAUUUCCGUUACCAAGAAGCAUCACGACCCCGAGAGGCCCUCCUCCAGCUCCAGAAGCUCUGUUGUCAGUGGCUAAGGCCAGAGAAGUGUACAAAAGAGCAGAUCCUGGAGUUGCUGGUCCUAGAACAGUUCCCGACUGUCCUUCUCCAGGAGAUCCAGAUCUGGGUCAGACAGCAGCAUCCGGAGAGUGGAGAGGAGGCAGUGGCCCUGGUGGAAGACUUGCAGAAAGAACCUGGAAGACAGAGGCUGGAGCCCUGCCUGAUGUGGCUCUGGGAAUUCCUGCAGAGAAGAGCAGGGGUGGCCAGGAGAUAGUGAGCAGCUCCCAGGAGCUAGUGACACCUGGUGAUUCGGCUGUGUAUAUCUCCUAGGAGGCAUGGAGGGAUCCAGAACCUGGACUGAAGAACCACCUAGAAAUAACUCAGCAGAAUUCUGAAAAUGAGGUCACGCUGGAUUUUCCAAUCCAUAGGCCCAAAGUGAACUCCCACGUGGAGUAGGAUGAAAACCCACAGCAUCUAGAUCUUCAAAUUCUGGAGAAAAAGAGAGUGUGAAAGACUGCUCAGUGGCUGGGGUGAGAGUCAAGUCUGGCCAGGUGCUAAUCUGGAGAAAAGCCAAGACCUGGAGCGAGCUGGAGUGGCAGGCCCUGGAGGAUGAGAAGGUGGCAGGAGUGCACUGGGGAUACAAAGAAACCAAGAUUUUUCUGGGAAUUCUCAGAGGCCUGGAUCCACGAAAAACUCCGCACCUGCCAUCGAAACCACCAGGUGUACCGGAUUAUGGCUGAGCAGCUGUGAGAACAUGGCUUCCUGUGGACCCUGGAGCAAUGUUGCUAUCGGUUCAAAAACCUCCUGACCGACUACUGCAAAGCCAGGAGCACCUACACACCAGGCACCAGUGUCUUCUAUGAUGAGAUGGAUGCCCUGUUGAGUCUUGGGGCACUUUCUAACACCUUUGAUGCCUUAGAGGUGGUAGGAGGCCUUCUUUGGGAUUGAGAGGAUUCCAAAGGGAACCAGGGCAUAGCACUAGAAGAUGUGGCGGGAUGGUAAUGAAAUAGUGGAGGAGUCUCAAGAGGAAUCCUGGAGGCUUGGUCCCCAGGCCUUGAGGUGGAAUCCCAGUGGCAACUCUCCCCCACAAUGGACCUCAGAGCAGUGGGAGCGACGCAGUCCUGUGGGAAGCAUUCAGGCUCAGAAUCAGGAGAUGUGAUUAUUGUCCUGGCUCUGUUAUGACUAAUUUGGGUCUGGAAUGGCCUCAUCGGGGGAAAAAUUGGUGACAACUUUAAGAAAUACUGUUUAUAUCCCGUCCUCAAAUAUUGCUUGACUCAACCCUCUACUGAACCAGUAGUCCAGGGUGGCUCACAAAGACCACUUUGAGGCUCUUGCUCUGCUCUUUAGCCAAGGAGUCUCCCUUCCUGCCUUCAGUAACAACAUUACAGGAAGAGAGGAGAGAAAGGACUUCCAGUUCCCCAGCCAGAUGGGGUCACAAUGCUGCAGAAAAGUGAAGAGCUUUGGAAUGAAGAUCUCCCGGACUUCAAGGAGAUUCAGAAAACGUCCAGUGCAGAGACAGGGGUUCACCAUGGUGCCCAGGCUGAUCUCGAACUCCUCCUGGACUCAAGCUAUCCUCCCACCUCAGCCUCCCAAAGUACUGGGAUUACAGACAUGAGCCACAUGCUUGACCUGAAUUUUAACUGCAGUUAAUUAUCACUUAACCAGCGAAUUCACACAGGAGAAAUCCCCUGGCCGGGCGCGGUGGCUCACACCUGUAAUCCCAGCUCUUCGGGAGGCCGAGGUGGGUAGAUCACAAGGUCAAGAGAUC
ensembl:lncRNA novel transcript